rnacentral:rRNA from 1 species
UAGGGAAUCUUCCGCAAUGGACGCAAGUCUGACGGAGCAACGCCGCGUGAGUGAAGAAGGAUUUCGGUUCGUAAAACUCUGUUGUUAGAGAAGAACAGCGCAUAGAGUAACUGUUAUGCGUGUGACGGUAUCUAACCAGAAAGCCACGGCUAACUACGUGCCAGCAGCCGCGGUAAUACGUAGGUGGCAAGCGUUGUCCGGAUUUAUUGGGCGUAAAGCGAGCGCAGGCGGUCAAUUAAGUCUGAUGUGAAAGCCCCCGGCUCAACCGGGGAGGGUCAUUGGAAACUGGCUGACUUGAGUGCAGAAGAGGAGAGUGGAAUUCCAUGUGUAGCGGUGAAAUGCGUAGAUAUAUGGAGGAACACCAGUGGCGAAGGCGACUCUCUGGUCUGUAACUGACGCUGAGGCUCGAAAGCGUGGGUAGCAAACAGG